rnacentral:rRNA from 1 species
AGACGUCUACAUUAGAUACCCGGGUAGUCCCAGCCGUAAACUAUGCGCGUUAGGUGUAUCGGUGACCACGAGUUACCGAGGUGCCGAAGGGAAACCGUGAAACGUGCCGCCUGGGAAGUACGGUCGCAAGGCUGAAACUUAAAGGAAUUGGCGGGGAGCACCACAACAGGUGGAGCCUGCGGUUUAAUUGGACUCAACGCCGGGAAGCUCACCGGAUAGGACAGCAGAAUGAUUGCCGGGCUGAAGACCCUGCAUGACUAGCUG